UACGUAGGGGGCGAGCGUUGUCCGGAUUCAUUGGGCGUAAAGAGCUCGUAGGCGGCUUGGCAAGUCGGGUGUGAAACCUCCAGGCUCAACCUGGAGACGCCACCCGAUACUGCCAUGGCUAGAGUCCGGUAGGGGACCACGGAAUUCCAGGUGUAGCGGUGAAAUGCGUAGAUAUGCGGAGGAACACCGAUGGCGAAGGCAAUCCCCUGGGCCUGCACUGACGCUCAUGCACGAAAGCGUGGGGAGCAAACAGG
rnacentral:rRNA from 1 species